UGAAAAUUGCAAAGACUCCUGCUGUGCUGUUCCUUUUGGGAAGCUGGCUGUGUGAUGGAACAUUCACAGCAUGGAAGAAAUCACCACAUAACUGGUAAUUUCAUCCCUAGCUGUCAGUGAAUUGCCUUUCCCAGACAUCGAAGUUAUCGAAAGAACAUCUCCUUGGAUGUAAUCAACCUCCGAUCUGC